GAUGAACGCUGGCGGCGUGCCUAAUACAUGCAAGUCGAGCGAACGGACGAGAAGCUUGCUUCUCUGAUGUUAGCGGCCGACGGGUGAGUAACACGUGGAUAACCUACCUAUAAGACUGGGAUAACUUCGGGAAACCGGAGCUAAUACCGGAUAAUAUUUUGAACCGCAUGGUUCAAAAGUGAAAGACGGUCUUGCUGUCACUUAUAGAUGGAUCCGCGCUGCAUUAGCUAGUUGGUAAGGUAACGGCUUACCAAGGCAACGAUGCAUAGCCGACCUGAGAGGGUGAUCAGCCACACUGGAACUGAGACACGGUCCAGACUCCUACGGGAGGCAGCAGUAGGGAAUCUUCCGCAAUGGGCGAAAGCCUGACGGAGCAACGCCGCGUGAGUGAUGAAGGUCUUCGGAUCGUAAAACUCUGUUAUUAGGGAAGAACAUAUGUGUAAGUAACUGUGCACAUCUUGACGGUACCUAAUCAGAAAGCCACGGCUAACUACGUG
rnacentral:rRNA from 1 species